rnacentral:rRNA from 1 species
CCUACGGGAGGCUGCAGUGGGGAAUAUUGGACAAUGGGCGAAAGCCUGAUCCAGCCAUGCCGCGUGUGUGAAGAAGGCCUUCGGGUUGUAAAGCACUUUCAGUGGGGAAGAAAGCCUUGGGGCUAAUACCCUCGAGGAAGGACAUCACCCACAGAAGAAGCACCGGCUAACUCCGUGCCAGCAGCCGCGGUAAUACGGAGGGUGCGAGCGUUAAUCGGAAUUACUGGGCGUAAAGCGCGCGUAGGCGGUCUGAUAAGCCGGUUGUGAAAGCCCCGGGCUCAACCUGGGAACGGCAUCCGGAACUGUCAGGCUAGAGUGCAGGAGAGGAAGGUAGAAUUCCCGGUGUAGCGGUGAAAUGCGUAGAGAUCGAGAGGAAUACCAGUGGCGAAGGCGGCCUUCUGGACUGACACUGACGCUGAGGUGCGAAAGCGUGGGUAGCAAACAGGAUUAGAUACCCGAGUAGUC